AAAAUCUUAAUGUUUUUAUGCCCCACCUACGAUAGUAGAGGGGCAUUAUGUUUUCUGGUCUGUGCCUCCGUUCGUUCGUCCGUCUGUCUGUGCGUCCGUCUGUGCAUCCGUUCGCUUCAGGUUAAAGUUUUUGGUCAAGGUAGUUUUUGAAGAAGUUGAAGUCCAAUCAUCUUGAAACUUAGUACACAUGUUCCCCAUGAUAUGAUCUUUCUAAUUUUAAUGCCAAAUUAUAGUUUUGACCCCAAUUUCGUGGUCCACUGAACAUAGAAAAUGAUAGUGCGAAGUUCAGGUUAAAGUUUUUG
rnacentral:lncRNA from 1 species